rfam:Nicotiana attenuata strain TT scaffold02671, whole genome shotgun sequence.
GCCGAGCCUUGUAACAUGCGCUUCUGACCCAAGUGAGGGCAAUAGUGUGGUGGGAUGUUGGAUUGUUUUUGAAGGCUGGGGUUCUGGUGGCUAAUGUCUGACCUGUCCUAUCCAAGCUUAGAGUUGAGUCAUUUGGCCCAAACGUAAGUAUGGGCUGCUUGGCUCCUAGAGUGGGGCGGACUGCGUGAGGCUGGUUUUACAGAGCAACGAACAGUUCCCGCUCCGUGCAGUGGAAGGAUAACGGGCCGGUGCUCUCCCAGUCAUCUCCAAUUUUCUUCUUUUGUCUCAUUUCUUGAGUCCAUUACUUCA